GUGUUGUAUGAAAGGAGAGAAGGUUAGCACUCCCCUUGAUAAGGAUGGAAGGAGUCCGAGUGGCCGUACAACACAUAAAUGGUUAAAGGCAUUGCCAUCUACUUAGUGGCAUCUAACCAUGUUUGAUU